UUAUUAGGGGUCCAAGCCAACAGGUUGGAUCCCUAUUGUUUUUGUAAGGAUUUUUAUUAUUAGGGGUCCAAGCCAACAGGUUGGAUCCCUAUUGUUUUUGUAAGGAUUAUUCCUAUUAUUAUUAUUAUUCUUACCCCCCUAAAAGUGGGCCCACACCCCAAACCGUAAAUGGUGCCGACACGCAAAUGGCAUGACUAGAUCCAGGUCCCUGAGUUCUAGGCAGACGACAAAAUCCAGACACGCCGGCCACUAGGUGGCGCUAUACCAAGGAAAGACGCGUUUGGGGCUAUAACUCCCACACCGAACCUCC
ensembl:lncRNA